UACGUAGGGGGCAAGCGUUAUCCGGAAUUACUGGGUGUAAAGGGAGCGUAGACGGUAAUGUAAGUCUGGAGUGAAAGGCGGGGGCCCAACCCCCGGACUGCUCUGGAAACUAUGUUACUAGAGUGCAGGAGAGGUAAGCGGAAUUCCUAGCGUAGCGGUGAAAUGCGUAGAUAUUAGGAGGAACACCAGUGGCGAAGGCGGCUUACUGGACUGUAACUGACGUUGAGGCUCGAAAGCGUGGGGAGCAAACGGG
rnacentral:rRNA from 1 species